UUGACCCAAUAUCUUCACUCCGAUGAAUGUUUGGCUCAGCCAAAUAUCGGGUGGUCUCCACAAUAAAAAUAAACAUCCAUAAUUACACAAUACAAAUGACAGACUUUGCCUGCCUAUUGCCAACCGUGUUAGAGGAAAUCAAUAGUGCUGCCAUAUCUCGGAGCGACCUCUCUUUGCCACAGGUUCCAUUGUAAAUUUGCUCUUUGCUACAACAACAACACUGACUUUGACUGUAUCAAACUGACAAUCCCGAACCCUGUUUCCAGCCCAUUGAAUCAAAUCGAAGCAGUCACGUGACUGUGCCGGAACGAAGCUUCGGACGUCACUGAUCACGUUGUUGUAAAAUGGUGCGGCCCCUUUAAGAGCAGCACGUACGGAGCAGGGAUGAGUGAGUGAGCGAGUGGGAGAGAAGGAGCAGAGUUUUUGUUAAUGUUGUGUGUGGACGUAGCGACCGGAGAAACCCAUGUGCUGUAACCGUGUUACUCAGUGUUCAAUAAAUCUUCAAAGAAAGCAUACAGCGGGCGUUUUAUUCACUAACCGGCAGGAGGAAGGAAAGUGAAGGGUAUAAACCCCAAGUAUUAGCAACAGGCAAUACUUGGCCCUGGAGCAGAGAACGAAGUCUCCAACUACGGUCAGAGACGGACAGGCAGGAAAGGUUAACAACGUGAUCAGCAGCGAACGAACCGAGCACCGAUACGUUUGCGUCGCCUUGCACUGGUUCAUACUUCGACACAAGCUUCGAAGCAGGAGGGUCGGAGGUAACAACAAUAUCUGUCUGACUACCCGUGUACCGAACCCCUGCCUGAAGUAAGGCAAGUAAGUGAACUAUUUUUGUCUCUGACUACUCCGCCUCGAGUCUGCUUUUGAGUCUAGACCCUUGUGGCCCCAACCGGCUUAACAGUAAGGAGUAGAAGUAAAACGUCGUCUGAAAAAUAAAUACUCCAGUAAAGUAUAGAUACCCAAAAUGUCUACUUGUUACGUUCCCCAGUUUUCUGUGUUUGGUGGCUUUGUUUUGUGCCCUGACAGGUGAUUGAUUCCAGGAGCAGCAGUCCCCAGACUGGGGCGUCAGUGGCUGCACCUGGAUUCCUUCCCUCGCAACACAUAAAGUGGUGCCAUUUUGUUAUGAAGCUCUCGCUCGUUGGGUGUGGGUUGUAGAGCAGAGAGUGACUUGGAGUCUCUGUUAAAUCUUGUUCUGUGUGCUUGUGAAAGCGCUUUUCUCAUUUUGUGUUUAAUCCUGUUUUUUUUGUCUUUUGUUCCCAGGGAAAAGGGGAAGCACCUUGGGAGUGCGUAGGCAAGCUGCCCAUGGGUCUACACCACCCGUAGUCAUCCUCCUGUCUAGAAACACUAGGCAAGACCUGGGCGGACCACCCCCUGUAUUUGGUUAGUGAGCCUUGCUAGUGCUCAAGCUAGGUUAGGGGGGGGUGUUUCAGGUCAGAUAGGCAAGAGGGACUGUUUUGUUCAUUGUUUUGGUUCCGCCCAGCCCCUUUUCCCAAGCAACCCGUAUAUAUAUAUAUAUUAAUAAACAUUCCUUUUUACGGGCUAUAUGUGUUCUGGUCGUCCGUGUACCUACACGCACCACACCUCUUUCCCCCAUUACCACAUUGAGAUGACGAGCGGCGGGUCGUUGCGUUCCCUCCUCCACGAGGCGUGCGUAACACUACUUCAGUACAGUAACAAAGGAUUUGUUUAUAGAACACAACAGGGGCGCGGUGAAGGUCCAAUGUACACAGCGGCAUCGCCCUGCUCCGUGUGUGAGCGACAGCGUGCACCCCCUCGCCGAGCUUCCAGCCGGAGCAGGCGAGGCCUGUGUGCUUGCCGAGGAGGAGGCCGCUGCUGCCGCCACUGCUGCUGGGGCUUGUGCAUCUCUGUACCUGCGUCAGAGAUGCACGCCUAAACUUAAC
ensembl:lncRNA